GAAUCUAAAUCUAACACGGACUUCAAACACCCUGACAAUCACCAAGGAAGAUUGACUACACCGAGCUGUUUACAAGAUGCUUUUGAUGGUGACAUAUAGAGCAACAUGUGUUACACAAUGAAACAGAUCCAGAGAGAUGGACUGACCUUGCCCAUGACUCACAGAAAGUGACCAACCUAGCAAGCCUAGGACCCCAGACUGCCAUGAAAACAUCCACAUGUACAUG
rnacentral:lncRNA from 1 species